AUGUGCCAUCCUGCCCGGGCGUGGAUCCUGCGUUUCAGCCCAGCAGUCGGCCUGCAUCACAACCUCGCCCUGAUCCCUGGGCCGCCUCCCUGAUGGGUGUCUGUGUUCGGCUAACCCUUGUCUUACUCAGCAGGAGCCCUAGGACAGGAAGGGACAGAGGACUCUGUGGCAGUGCUGGGGGCAUGCGGGCGGAGCUUGGCAGGUACAGGGUUUGGCACCGUCUGGGGCUUUGGGCACUUGCUUGGGUUCUUGGAACACACUCCCUGCCGACAGAGGACUCCUCUGCCAAAAAAUCAGAACAGUGACCUCCACACGGUGGCUUGGCUGCUACUUGUCUCCAGAGAGUUGCUGGAAGGCCUGACGGUGUAUCUGUGUUCCCGACUCCACGUGUAGAUCACCCCCUGCAAGAGAUACAGCUGUUCUGGGACAUUAGUUUCUCCACAGACAGCACAUUCUGCCCACUGCCUGGCGGCUCCAGACCAGUGUCAGAGAACUGGGUUUUGGUAGCAGAGAUUGAACCCAGGGGCGCUUAACCACUGAGCCUCACCCCCAGCCCUUUUUAUGUUUUAU
rnacentral:lncRNA from 1 species